ACUCCCGCGAGGGGGCGUCUGGUGGAAGUCAUAGGUGCGCAACCGUGUCGAGCGAAAGCGAAGCGCCGUAAGGCUUCGGGGACGGGUGAGCCGGCGGCCAGCGGCGAAGCCCAAUAUCUGUCGGGAGUUCCCGGGGUAGUGGCGACGGGAUGGGUGCGAAAUCUAGCGGU
rfam:Marine metagenome HOTS_Contig21683, whole genome shotgun sequence.